UAUACUGUUAUAAUAAUUCUAAGUCACAACUUUAAUUUGGCAGUUGGUUGUAUACUUUCUAUAUGACGUAUAGUUUUUUGAGUAAAUAUAUAAACGCUUAAAAACUAAAAACCCUAUACCUACUUUAAGUCAUAAUUUUAUAAGGCCCCGAAUAUUGUUCCACACACAAAAAAAAGUCUCAGUUGGGGCUAUAGUCUCUUAAGUCAUAUCUGUGCG